rnacentral:rRNA from 1 species
CGCUGGAAACGGCGUCUAAUACUGGAUAUGUGACGUGACCGCAUGGUCUGCGUCUGGAAAGAAUUUCGGUUGGGGAUGGGCUCGCGGCCUAUCAGCUUGUUGGUGAGGUAAUGGCUCACCAAGGCGUCGACGGGUAGCCGGCCUGAGAGGGUGACCGGCCACACUGGGACUGAGACACGGCCCAGACUCCUACGGGAGGCAGCAGUGGGGAAUAUUGCACAAUGGGCGCAAGCCUGAUGCAGCAACGCCGCGUGAGGGACGACGGCCUUCGGGUUGUAAACCUCUUUUAGCAGGGAAGAAGCGAAAGUGACGGUACCUGCAGAAAAAGCGCCGGCUAACUACGUGCCAGCAGCCGCGGUAAUACGUAGGGCGCAAGCGUUAUCCGGAAUUAUUGGGCGUAAAGAGCUCGUAGGCGGUUUGUCGCGUCUGCUGUGAAAUCCGGAGGCUCAACCUCCGGCCUGCAGUGGGUACGGGCAGACUAGAGUGCGGUAGGGGAGAUUGGAAUUCCUGGUGUAGCGGUGGAAUGCGCAGAUAUCAGGAGGAACACCGAUGGCGAAGGCAGAUCUCUGGGCCGUAACUGACGCUGAGGAGCGAAAGGGUGGGGAGCAAACAGGCUUAGAUACCCUGGUAGUCCACCCCGUAAACGUUGGGAACUAGUUGUGGGGUCCAUUCCACGGAUUCCGUGACGCAGCUAACGCAUUAAGUUCCCCGCCUGGGGAGUACGGCCGCAAGGCUAAANCUCAAAGGAAUUGACGGGGACCCGCACAAGCGGCGGAGCAUGCGGAUUAAUUCGAUGCAACGCGAAGAACCUUACCAAGGCUUGACAUAUACGAGAACGGGCCAGAAAUGGUCAACUCUUNGGACACUCGUAAACAGGUGGUGCAUGGUUGUCGUCAGCUCGUGUCGUGAGAUGUUGGGUUAAGUCCCGCAACGAGCGCAACCCUCGUUCUAUGUUGCCAGCACGUAAUGGUGGGAACUCAUGGGAUACUGCCGGGGUCAACUCGGAGGAAGGUGGGGAUGACGUCAAAUCAUCAUGCCCCUUAUGUCUUGGGCUUCACGCAUGCUACAAUGGCCGGUACAAAGGGCUGCAAUACCGCGAGGUGGAGCGAAUCCCAAAAAGCC